rnacentral:lncRNA from 1 species
CAUGCCUCUUUGGGUAUUUGGGCUUUGCAUAGUAGGCUACCUGUGCGACAUGGUUUGCUAGUACCCACUGAUCAUCUUUAUAGCCGAGACUUUAGAGCUCCACGAUGGUUAGCCCAUACUCGCCCACAACAAUUGCCUUUGGCUUGACCCAUUGGCACCAAAAGAUCGGUAUCUAUAGUUCACCACCGUAGUCAAGUGCCCAUAUCUCUUCACUCUGCCCAUAGUAUGUCUUAGUCUCCCCUGUGGCCUCGUCGAUGCCCUCAUAUCAAACACCGCUAUUCUGUACUUCGCUCUUCCUGUCCUUCUCUUUUGUGUGAAUCCUAUAUCCAUUGAUAUCGUACCCAUGCCAUGAGGUUAUCUGG